CUGGCUCAGAAUGAACGUUGGCGGCGUGGAUUAGGCAUGCGAGUCGUACGAGAACCCGCAAGGGGGAAAGUGGCGAACGGGGUAGUAAUGCGUAGGUGACGUGCCCUGCGGUCGGGGAUAGCUUAGGGAAACUUAAGGUAAUACCCGAUGACACCAUGCGGUUUGAAUACCAUAUGGUCAAAGGUGUGAUUCCACCACAGGAGCGGCUUGCGUGGUAUUAGCUAGUUGGUGAGGUAACGGCUCACCAAGGCAACGAUGCCUAGGGGAUGUUAGCGCAUGAUCCCCACCACUGGGACUGAGAUACUGCCCAGACACCUACGGGUGGCUGCAGUCGAGAAUCUUCGGCAAUGGGGGAAACCCUGACCGAGCGACGCCGCGUGUGGGAUGAAGGCCCUUGGGUUGUAAACCACUGUCAGAGGGGAUGAAGUGCUAGAGAGCUAUCUCUCUAGUUUGACAUAGCCUCAGAGGAAGCACGGGCUAAGUUCGUGCCAGCAGCCGC
rnacentral:rRNA from 1 species